CACCUCGCCAAAUUAGUCUGUGACUUCACCUUCCUCUUUGCCAUUCGCGACUGCCCCAAACCCUUCGCGCUCCACCAAGCUUCCUCUCUGCUGCUGCCCUUCGCCUCCCUUUCCCUUUUGCUGAACAAAAUGCUUCCGCCACUAUCUACAGUCUCCUCUCCGUUAACGAGUAUCGGCUUAUCGUCAGGUCCAAACGGACACUCGUCACUGCCCUCCUAGUCUCUUCUACGAACCCCUCUCUGUCAAAAUCCUCUACCCUCUCUGCCGAAUCCCUCCACCGACUCCCUCUCUGCUGAACAUCUCCAGCCAACCCAUCUUCGCCGACUCCCUCUCCGGUAAACAUCUUUGGCCAACCUAUCUUCGCCGACUCCUCUCCGCUAAGCAUCUUCGUCCAACUCCUCUCUGCUAAACCUCUCCGCCAAAUCCCUCUUCCGCUGAACAUCUCCGCCGAAGCAGCUUGUCUCUUUCUACCUCGUGAUCGCCGACGGCCAAACCAUCGAUGCUGUUGCAUAAUUUCUUGAGGUUAUAGGUUGUUAGCUUGAUGAGGCUGUAUAACUCCUCUAUGUCAGCAAUGAAAGUGGUGUGGUGGAGUCAUCUUUCUUGCAUUGAUGGAUUAAUGGAAUUACUAGGUGGUCUUCAACUAAACUUGUGAAAUUAGAGUAUGUUUUUGUCAAAUAUAGUUUGUGAUGACUUUUUGUUUGAAAUUUUUGUUUCUUUAGCGAGUAAAAUAUUUUUACCAGUAGUAUUUCAGUGUUAGGUGCCCUUGAAGAUGAAGUGCGAACAACUUUGCCUAUCAUAAGAUACCCUUUAUGAAGAUCCUGCUUUUUUCGAGUCUCAACCAAGUUCAGAUGUUUCCUUUGGCAUAUCAAGACCUUUUACUAUUUGGGAAUCAAGCAAGAGCAUUGUGUCAACAUCAAAUGGCACCCAUGGCAAUCUUGCUUCAUUAUAUACUCCACCUUUUGCCUUGAUGUUCCAAGAGCACUUUGACCAUGUGUAAUGAUUAUGCAAACAUCUCUUGUUGUUGUAGUUACACAAUUCACCUUUUGAUAAAUGAAUUUGUAGAAGAUUGAUUCA